rnacentral:rRNA from 1 species
GAUGAACGCUGGCGGCGUGCCUAACACAUGCAAGUCGAACGCUCGCAAGAGAGUGGCGCACGGGUGAGUAACACGUAGCUAAUCUGCCCUCAAGACAAGGAUAACUGUAGGAAACUACUGCUAAUACUUGAUAAGCUUACGGACUGUAGAGGUCUAUAAGAAAGAUUUAUCGCUUGAGGAUGAGGCUGCGCGCCAUCAGCUAGUUGGUAAGGUAAUGGCUUACCAAGGCGACGACGGCUAGGGGACCUGAGAGGGUGACCCCCCACACUGGGACUGAGACACGGCCCAGACUCCUACGGGAGGCAGCAGUGAGGAAUAUUGCUCAAUGGGCGCAAGCCUGAAGCAGCGACGCCGCGUGGAUGAAGAAGGUUUUCGGACUGUAAAAUCCUUUUCUGUGUGACGAGAGUGGACGGUAGCACAGGAAUAAGUCUCGGCUAACUACGUGCCAGCAGCCGCGGUAAU